rnacentral:rRNA from 1 species
GACUCACGCGGGAAUCUUACCGGGUCCGGACACACUGAGGAUUGACAGGUUCCGAGAGUUUUUGCUUCGGCAAUGCUCUCUUAAAUAUGAUAGUCCUUUCAUGAUUAUGUGAUAGGUGGUGCAUGGCCGUUCUUAGUUCGUGGAGUGAUCUGUCUGCUUAAUUGCGUUUCACUAAAGGCGUCAUAUCUGUUUUGUUGCGUGUUUGACCCCUCUUCGGAGCGCGUGUCUUCACGCACAAUUACUUUGGCGUCUGAAAGCAACGAACGUGACCGUAACCUCUUGUUGCCUUCUCUUCUCCUCGGAGAAUGCUGUUUGUUUUUGCAGGCAGUAUAUGGAGGCUUUUUUACUCAACAACUAGAGGGACCGCUGUUUCUUUCUUUAAACCAGAGGAAGGAUACGGCAAUAACAGGUCUGUGAUGCCCUUAGAUGUUCCGGGCUGCACACGUGAUACAUUGAUUACUUCAGUGAGUAUCUACGUUUUACUGCCGUGGCAUUGCAAUGCAUAUUUCUUCGGA